rnacentral:rRNA from 1 species
UGAAGAGUUUGAUCAUGGCUCAGAUUGAACGCUGGCGGCAGGCCUAACACAUGCAAGUCGAACGGUAACAGGAAGCAGCUUGCUGCUUCGCUGACGAGUGGCGGACGGGUGAGUAAUGUCUGGGAAACUGCCUGAUGGAGGGGGAUAACUACUGGAAACGGUGGCUAAUACCGCAUAACGUCGCAAGACCAAAGAGGGGGACCUUCGGGCCUCUUGCCAUCAGAUGUGCCCAGAUGGGAUUAGCUAGUUGGUGAGGUAACGGCUCACCAAGGCGACGAUCCCUAGCUGGUCUGAGAGGAUGACCAGCCACACUGGAACUGAGACACGGUCCAGACUCCUACGGGAGGCAGCAGUGGGGAAUAUUGCACAAUGGGCGCAAGCCUGAUGCAGCCAUGCCGCGUGUAUGAAGAAGGCCUUCGGGUUGUAAAGUACUUUCAGCGGGGAGGAAGGUGUUGUGGUUAAUAACCGCAGCAAUUGACGUUACCCGCAGAAGAAGCACCGGCUAACUCCGUGCCAGCAGCCGCGGUAAUACGGAGGGUGCAAGCGUUAAUCGGAAUUACUGGGCGUAAAGCGCACGCAGGCGGUCUGUCAAGUCGGAUGUGAAAUCCCCGGGCUCAACCUGGGAACUGCAUUCGAAACUGGCAGGCUUGAGUCUUGUAGAGGGGGGUAGAAUUCCAGGUGUAGCGGUGAAAUGCGUAGAGAUCUGGAGGAAUACCGGUGGCGAAGGCGGCCCCCUGGACAAAGACUGACGCUCAGGUGCGAAAGCGUGGGGAGCAAACAGGAUUAGAUACCCUGGUAGUCCACGCCGUAAACGAUGUCUACUUGGAGGUUGUGCCCUUGAGGCGUGGCUUCCGGAGCUAACGCGUUAAGUAGACCGCCUGGGGAGUACGGCCGCAAGGUUAAAACUCAAAUGAAUUGACGGGGGCCCGCACAAGCGGUGGAGCAUGUGGUUUAAUUCGAUGCAACGCGAAGAACCUUACCUGGUCUUGACAUCCACAGAACUUUCCAGAGAUGGAUUGGUGCCUUCGGGAACUGUGAGACAGGUGCUGCAUGGCUGUCGUCAGCUCGUGUUGUGAAAUGUUGGGUUAAGUCCCGCAACGAGCGCAACCCUUAUCCUUUGUUGCCAGCGGUUAGGCCGGGAACUCAAAGGAGACUGCCAGUGAUAAACUGGAGGAAGGUGGGGAUGACGUCAAGUCAUCAUGGCCCUUACGACCAGGGCUACACACGUGCUACAAUGGCGCAUACAAAGAGAAGCGACCUCGCGAGAGCAAGCGGACCUCAUAAAGUGCGUCGUAGUCCGGAUUGGAGUCUGCAACUCGACUCCAUGAAGUCGGAAUCGCUAGUAAUCGUGGAUCAGAAUGCCACGGUGAAUACGUUCCCGGGCCUUGUACACACCGCCCGUCACACCAUGGGAGUGGGUUGCAAAAGAAGUAGGUAGCUUAACCUUCGGGAGGGCGCUUACCACUUUGUGAUUCAUGACUGGGGUGAAGUCGUAACAAGGUAACCGUAGGGGAACCUGCGGUUGGAUCACCUCCUUACCUGAAAGAA